ACAUGCAAGUCGAGGGGCAGCGGGAUUGAAGCUUGCUUCAAUUGCCGGCGACCGGCGGAAGGGUGCGUAACGCGUGAGCGACAUGCCCGUUGCCCGGGGACAACCGGUGGAAACGCCGACUAAUCCCCGAUGGGACGGAGGCCCUCAUGGGUCUCUGUUGAAAGUUACGGCGGCGACGGAUUGGCUCGCGUCCGAUUAGCUAGUUGGCGGGGUAACGGCCCACCAAGGCUACGAUCGGUAGGGGUUCUGAGAGGAAGGUCCCCACAAUGGAACUGAGACACGGUCCAUACUCC
rnacentral:rRNA from 1 species